rnacentral:rRNA from 1 species
UACGUAGGCAGCAAGCGUUGUUCGGAAUUACUGGGCGUAAAGAGUGUGUAGGCGGUUCUCUAAGUUCCGUGUGAAAUCUCCUGGCUUACCUGGGAGGAUGGUCGCCAGACGGGAUCGCUUGAGGGUCGGAGAGGGGCGUGGAAUUCCGGGUGGAGCGGUGAAAUGCGUAGAGAUCCGGAGGAACACCGACGGCGUAGGCAGCGCCCUGGACGACACCUGACGCUGAGGCACGAAAGCUGGGGGAGCAAACAGG